AAAUUGAAGAGUUUGAUCAUGGCUCAGAUUGAACGCUGGCGGCAGGCCUAACACAUGCAAGUCGAGCGGUAGCACAGAGAGCUUGCUCUCGGGUGACGAGCGGCGGACGG
rnacentral:rRNA from 1 species